rnacentral:lncRNA from 1 species
UCCCGGCUACUUAACCCGGCGGGCGGCGGGGCCGAGCACCACCUUAAUCCACGACGUGAGCGCGCCCGCCCGCCAGGAGCCUGCAGGGCCGUGGCGUGCCGGCCGUGUCCAGCCGCGGGGUCCCCGACGGUGUGGCGGUGCGCUCCCGCGGCGGCUCGGACCCGCACUCGCUGCCCUCAAGGUCACGCCGUGCCCCGGCUGCAGGGUGGCGGCCAGGUGCAUGCUCCGGUUACCUGCGGGGAGAACCGGCGAAAGCCCAGGAGCCCAGCAUCAAGCCCCUCCGGCUGCGCCGCCCCACCGAGGGAGUCCGGCCACGGCUCGCAGCCCCGCGGCGGGAGCGGAGCAACGCUGCACCUGCCACCACGCUGUUGCCCGCCCCGGUCGGCCAGCCGGGAGGAGAACCGCCCCGAGCCGCCGCCGCGCUUACCUCUGCGCCGUGGGGCCAACACGGCCGCCGGUCGGGGGCCAGGACGAGGCGCCCGUAAACCUGACGCCGCCCGCUCGUUCGCUCGCCGAGCGCACAAGGUCCCCGCGCUCCCCGCCCUGCCCACGGCCGGCCGGCCCCGCCGCGCCGCCCCCGCCCUGCGGCCGCGCGAGGAGGGCGGGAGAGGGGGCGGGGGGGUGAAGCGGCGACCGAAUUGGGGAGGGAAGGAGGGAGGGAGGGGGCACCGGCGCGGGGAGAGCUGGGGGAGGAGAAGGAAGGAGGGAGGGAGGGAAGGAAGGGGGGGGCGCGGACCGUCCGCCCCGCCCCCGUCGCCUCACCGGCAGGAAUCAGCGAUUCGCCCUCCUCGCGGGCGCUCCCGCCGUCGCCGCCGCCGCCGCUCCCCGGGGCCCGCCCGCCUCCUUUCCCCCGCACGCACCGGGCAGCGCCGAGCGCGCCGCCGAGCCCCUGCGCCGCAGAGCAACCGCUACAGGAGCCGGGCGCCACCGGGCAGGGCGGGGCGGAGCGCAGCGAUCCGCCCGCCUCCCGCCUCCGCCCGCCUGCCCGCCGCGGUCACUCACUCGCCCGCGCCCGUCGCCCCCUCCUCUCCCGGCGCCGCGGCCACCGGUCCUCGCCGCCUCCCUCGCCGCCUGCGGAGUGCGGGCCACGUGACGGGGCGCCUCUCUCGGCCGAGGAAAGGGGGGUCUCGACGUGCGGACUCUUCAAUGGGGGAGGCGGAGGCGGGGCCCCGGUAG